UACGAAGGGGGCUAGCGUUGCUCGGAAUGACUGGGCGUAAAGGGCGCGUAGGCGGUUUGUACAGUCAGGUGUGAAAUUCCCGGGCUCAACCUGGGGGCUGCACUUGAUACGUAUGGACUGGAGUGGGGAAGAGGGUCGUGGAAUUCCCAGUGUAGAGGUGAAAUUCGUAGAUAUUGGGAAGAACACCGGUGGCGAAGGCGGCGACCUGGUCCUUGACUGACGCUGAGACGCGAAAGCGUGGGGAGCGAACAGG
rnacentral:rRNA from 1 species